GACGAACGCUGGCGGCGUGCUUAACACAUGCAAGUCGAACGGAGUGGCGAACGGGUGAGUAACACGUGGGUGAUCUGCCUUGCACUUCGGGAUAAGCUUGGGAAACUUGGUCUAAUACCGGAUAGUGCAAGAUGAGCUCGCGGCCUUUCAGCUUGUUGGUGGGGUAAUGGCCAACCAAGGCGUCGACGGGUAUCCGGCCUGGGAGGGUGUACGGCAACAUUGGGACUGAGAUCGGGUCCAGACUCCUACGGGAGGGAGGAGUGGGGAAUAGUGCACAAGGGGCGGAAGUCUGAUGCAGCGACGCCGCGUGGGGGAUGAAGGAAAUCGGGUUGUAAACUCCUUUCGACAGGGACGCGGUACCUGUAUAAGAAGCACCGGCUAACUACGUGCCAGCAGCCGCUGUAAUAC
rnacentral:rRNA from 1 species